ACAUGCCUACAACAUAGCGUUAAUACAUCGGAUCUCAUUAGAACUCCUUAGUUAAACACGCUCAAGCUAGAGUACUAUUGGGAUGGGUGACCUCCUCGGAAGUGCUAAUAUUUUACAUGCU
rnacentral:rRNA from 1 species